rnacentral:rRNA from 1 species
GACGUAGGGCGCGAGCGUUGUCCGGAUUUAUUGGGCGUAAAGAGCUCGUAGGCGGCUUGUCGCGUCGACCGUGAAAACUCGCAGCUCAACUGCGAGCCUGCGGUCGAUACGGGCAGGCUAGAGUUCGGUAGGGGAGACUGGAAUUCCUGGUGUAGCGGUGAAAUGCGCAGAUAUCAGGAGGAACACCGGUGGCGAAGGCGGAUCUCUGGGCCUUACCUGACGCUGAGGCGCGAAAGCUAGGGGAGCAAACAGG